AAUAAUAAUAAUAAUAAUUAAAUAAAUGUCAAAUGGAAAUCGACUCAGCUCCCCUCCAUUCAACUGAGUUCAUUACCACCUUUUCUUCUCACUCUCUUGCUAAUUGAAAUCGACUCAGCUCUCUCUCUCACAAUUGUCACUCACUCUAAGAAACAAGUAAGAGUGGCACUGAUCUGAUCUCUAACUAGCCGGAAUAAUAGCGAUAACAGCCGCUUAAAAAGGAAUUGCGUCGCAGCAGAGCUUCUCACGGACUCCAUUCACAAACUUGUCUUUCUUUCCAGACAUCAUCCAUCAUGGUCAAUGCAACUAAAGGCGUCUUCAUUUCCUGUGAUAUACCUAUGGCUCAAUAUAUCGUCAAUAUGAAUGCUUCACUGCCUGCAUCUGACAAAUUCAUAAUACAUAUAUUGGAUAGUACACACAUGUUUGUUCAACCCCAUGUCGAGCAAAUGAUUCGAAGUCAAAUUGCAAAGUUCCGAGAGGACAACACAUACGUCAAACCUUCUUGAUUCAAUCUCAGGACUAUAUGGUUCUUGUAUCUGCUGAAUUUCAUCUUUGGAAUAUAUGUGAUGUUAGUUGUUAAUUAUGUUUUAGUUCUAUUAUAUGUAUGAAUACACUCUUCCAUUGAUGUUGAGAGUGAUUCGCCGUUUGAAAAGUUCUAUAGACACAUAAUACAGCUAUUUUGAUUAAAUUGACGAGGAACUGGUGCUUUAUUAGCAUGGUCAAGUUGCUAAAUAAGCACCAUAUUUUGCCAAUUUUUGGAAUCCAUAAAAUUUGGUGGACUUUGUUGUGUUGUGUGACAUUUUAGUAUACUGUAUUGAAAUUGAUCCCACUAAAUCAUGUAGGCCCCCGUAUAAAUUUAAUGUGGCUCAUUUGAAUUUCAACCAAUUAGAAUGUGUGUAUCGAGAAGAGUGUAUUGCUAGCAGAGUUUAUUUAUUAUGAGAAGUGUUAUCAACACACUGUUCCCAACACACAUUCAAAUAUUGUUAGAUUUUAUAGUCAUAAAUUGUGUUCUUUCACUGUGUGUACAUUGUAAUGUGUAUGUACAGUUGAAGUCGAAAAAAAAGGGACAAGUUAUUUUGGUGGAAUCAUAGACUUAACACAUAUAUAAAGCAGUUAAUGUCUACUUUCUCUUCUGAUAGCUCUAAUUUCUUGACAGAUUAUUAAAAAUAAAGCCUUUCUGCUAUUUAAUUUUAUAGAAGUUUGCAAGUUGACAGCAUCUUUGUUUAUCAUGAGUUGAUAUACUCCAAUUCAUUGAACAAUGAUUCUAUUGCCAUUUUGUAUCACUUCCUUUUUGUGUUAAAUCUGUCGCUGUGAAGUUGUGUUGCUUGUCAAGACUGUCUCAGGCAUUUCCUGGCAGGAGAUGAAAUGGUAGAGGAAUGUAAAUAGAGAAGUUUUGGUAGUUAAAACGAUCGGAAAGAGAGGCUAACUAAUUAAAGAGUGUCUUCUAGAAUUCUAGUUUUAUGCAUUUCAGCUAUUAUGGUUAAUUUCUGAGAGCCGACUUGAUUGUAAACUACUGUUCAACAUGGUAUUGUGUUCAUAGAAGAUACUUUACAAAGUGAAUCAUGUCCAGGAAAUCGACAACAUGCUUUAACAGCUUGUCAGCGAGAGUAAUUCGCUUAUCUAUAUAAAUUCCUUUACAUAAAAUUUUGUUUUCUCCGUCAUUCCAAAUUUUAAGCUAUUUAUUGUUAUGAUUGUUUUAUUCUCUCUAUGCUGCUGUGCAUCCAAAUGCUAGAUAGAAAUAGGAUAAAUAAUUAUUGUGUAAUAUUGCCUUGUAAAAGGUCUUUACCAGAUAUGAUUUCUAUCUUCUAUUGAUAUAACUUAGUUUGUUAACUGAUAUAGGAUUUUAGUUGCCCCUUUGAUUGUAAGUUACUUUUCAAUAUGGUGUUGUGUUCAUGGAAGAUACUUACAAAGUGAAUCUAGCAGCUUGGGGUGACUUAUUAUAAAGGUUUUGGAAGGGAAAAAAAAGUCAAAAGUUUAUUAAAAUGGAUAACUUGUGUUUUUCGCUGGUGUACAUAGUUAUAACAACAUGAAUUGAACAUUUAAUUCUUCAAGGGCAUGGCAUUUUAUGUGUUUCAUUCGGUCCUUUACAUUUUAUGAGCAUCCCAGAUUUCAAAUGGGAUCCAUACCUCGUCUUCCAUUAGACAAUCCCUAGGCAGCGUCUUUCGUUUUUUAUAAGGUCGCAUGAACAUGUUUUUUUUUUCUUUCCUUUACAUUUUUAUUGAUCAUUUACUUUGCUUAUACUGCUUGAAGCUUAGAUUAUAAUUGUCUCUUUUUUUGAAAGUCCAAGAUUAUUCCUCUUAUUUUUAGUAUAAGGCAAUUAUGUUAGUUAAUACUUUGUUUUCCUAAGACAUGCAUCUCUUACAGAGGAAAGAUUUGGCAAUGAUUCUGAGUUAGAUCAUGAUUUAUUUGGUACUGAAAUAGUGAAAUUGAUGAUAAAAUGUUGAUCACAGAACUGGCCGUUGCAUCUUCUCGUGCUAAAAUAUUAUCAGGAUAUGGUUCAGUUUUUAACAAAGACGCAUUUAGUUUGUGGAGGAUUUCAGUUUUAAAUUAAGGUCUUUCAGGGGUAACAAGUCUUGGUGUUGGACCUAUAACGGUGCUCAUUUGAGGUCUGUGGAAAGCUACAAUAGAAAUCCUCUCUUUCUUUGAGUUAAUUGUAGCUCGAUGUUCGAUGCUUCGAUAAAUUCCAUUGGUUAGUAUCUGCACAACCAUUACUGAUUAAAGUGGUAAGUGAUUUUUAAUUUCCGCGAUACUAUUGUAAUUUCGGCAAUUUUACAAAGAGUUUGAGGUCUCGGUUUAGACACUUAAAAAGUAUUUGACAUUUUAUAAAUUCAAAUUUAGGUGUUAACUUUGCCUCUGCUACUAAGAGGUUCAUGUGGCAGUAAUUUUUCUAAUUCAAUGUAAAAUUUUCAUGCAUAGCAUUUGGUUUUGAUUCUUACACACUCAUAAGAACACUUAAAGGGUAAAAUAAUAAGAGGAUAUUGACUAAUUUUCUAUCUAUUACCUCCAAAAUGUCUCCAACAUUUAUGACAAAAGCAUCGGUGAGUGGUUUAACAGAAAUCCACUGUCCAUCUUUUCGUAUUUGGAGACCUUCAAUGUCAUUGGCUUGUAGAAGGAUGGUUAAGGCACCCGCAUCAGAAUGAGGAUUGAGUCCAAUGACAUUUUCUGGUUGGGGACAAGGAGGAUAGUAAUUCAUCCUCAUUGAUUGAGUUAUAUCAUCAAUUGAGUCUAGCAGUUCAUUUGGUUCAACUUUAAGAGCUUUUGACAUAUGUUUGAUGAUUGUGAUGCAAACAUUUUUCAGUUCUAAACAAUAGGUUUCUAAAUUAUCUCUGCAACAUGAAACAAAGUUGGUUAGACAUAGA